UACGUAGGGGGCAAGCGUUGUCCGGAUUUAUUGGGCGUAAAGAGCGUGUAGGCGGCUUGGUAGGUCCGCUGUGAAAACUCGAGGCUCAACCUCGAGACGCCGGUGGAAACCAUCAGGCUAGAGUCCGGAAGAGGAGAGUGGAAUUCCUGGUGUAGCGGUGAAAUGCGCAGAUAUCAGGAAGAACACCCGUGGCGAAGGCGGCUCUCUGGUACGUGACUGACGCUGAGACGCGAAAGCGUGGGGAGCAAACAGG
rnacentral:rRNA from 1 species